UCAUCGCGCUCUAGUGGCUCCUUGUGGCGGGCCAGGCGCCUGCAGGCUGACUUCGCCUCUCCUGAGCCCGUUGAGGAGUUGCAGCAAUGAGACAAGAUUCUAAUAACGAAAUUGGGGAGAAAAAGGGGGUAAAAAUUGCAACAAAAUAAAUAAUUACUGUUAUUUAUGCCAAAUUGCAAACCUUAUUUGCACCUUCUGUAUUCCAAAACCAAUGUGUGUGCCUGAGUCUUAUCACCUCUCAACUUGGUAAACUAUUUCAACCUCGAACACUAUUCUUUGGUCUGGUUCAGUCAUUGCAGGAAGUCCUGAAGAGCAUGAGUUUGAAGGCUUUUGUCCCAGCCCAGCUCUAACACUUGAUCAACAUAGUCCAUUGACCAUAACAUUGACCAUAAUGUCAGUGGGAUGAGGGGGAUUCAUUUUGAUGGUAUUGAUAUAUAACGCAUACUCCACUCUCAAGUUGAACUUGUUGACUGAUGCCAAGGCGGCGGUUGCUAAGAAGAAAGGAGCAGCUGUGAAACAGAAGAUUGCAGCCAAGGCAGCACUGGUCCACACCUGCCUUGUCUGUCGGAUGCAGACCCAAAGACAUUCAAGCAGCACUUUGAGAGCAAGCAUCCCAUGUCUCCAAUGGUCCCAGUACCGGUUGAUGUGCAGACAUAAGUGACCACACACACUCAAAUGGACCUAUAGCUGGGACACAUGGUGACCACGAUUUGAAUGCUUACAACUGAGAUGGAAGGACGUGACCUCGAGAAUGACUGGACAUGGGCUGGAUAUUUGUGACAACCUAAAAGGGGUGCAGACGCACACUAGCACCCCAUUUUAUGUUUAUUCCAUAGCCAAUCAUAUCUCUAGCUAACCCCUUAUUCCACACUAUGCCCCGUGGUCCCUCAACUUCUGACACUUUGGAAUUCUCCAUCUUAUCUCUAUAAACCCCCGCUACCUUCACCCGUUUUCCCUAUGCUGCUUCCUUCACUUAUUAUUCUCCUGAUUUGAUAACAUUUAGACUCAAUAACAUGUUUCAAGGUGCUUACACAUGGGCGGUGGUAAGCUGUGUAGAGACCAGUGAUCCAGGUUGUUGUCAGCUUGAAAGUUGUCAUUAAAACAUUGUUUGAUUGGUUGACCAGAUGAACUCUGCUCAUUGGUCAACCAUGCAUGGCGGCAGCUCAAGACUUCAGCUAAUGACAUCUUUUGGUGCCUCGGGCUCCGAGCCAGCUUCGCCGCUCAUGGGAGCGAGUACCACGAACAGGGCCGCUUGCAAAACUGCUUGCAUUUUGCCGCCAGCCACUCUACUCCAAUUGAAGUCUGUAACCUUUGCCGCUUACCAUGGCCUGGUACCUUUUUGUGGUGUACUGUUUUUGCUACCUUCAGACUGAAUGCCGUGGUAAAUGUGUUGCUCACAAUUUACAGCCGCAACAUGGACCUGUUAAAUUGAUAAGGGUGUUGAUAUAGUUGAGUUUAGGCAUGGCUUCCUUGUUUUGAGUCUGUUAAGUUUGUUUCUCAUUGACCUAGUAUUUUAUAUCAAAUCAAAUUUAUUUAUAAAGCCCUUCUUACAUCAGCUGAUAUCUCAAAGUGCUGUACAGAAACCCAGCCUAAAACUCCAAACAGCAAGCAAUGCAGGUGUAGAAGCACGGUGGCUAGGAAAAACUCCCUAGACAGGUCAAAACCCAGAAAGAAACCUAGAGGAACCAGGCUAUGAGGGGUGGCCAGUCCUGUUCUGGCUGUGCCGGUGGAGAUUAUAACAGAACAUGGCCAAGAUGUUCAUAGAUGACCAGCAGGGUCAAAUAAUAAUAAUCACAGUGGUUGUCGAGGGUGCAACAGGUCAGCACCUCAGGAGUAAAUGUCAGUUGGCUUUUCAUAGCUGAUCAUUCAGAGUAUCUCUACGGCCACUGCUGUCUCUAGAGAGUUGACAACAGCAGGUCUGGGACAGGUAGCACGUGCGGUGAACAGGUCAGGGUUCCAUAGCCGCAGGCAGAACAGUUGAAACUUGAGCAGCAGCACGGCCAGGUGGACUGGGGACAGCAAGGAGUCAUCAGGCCAGGUAGUCCUGAGGCAUGGUCCUCAGGACUAUAUAUCAAACCUACAGUACCUUACACAUCCAGUUGUUUCUCCAUUUGUAAGUCACCCACCAAAAAUCACAAUAUGUUGUUAUACAUGUUGUGUUAUUUGUGCUGGUCUAAUUCCUAAAAUGGAAAAAGCAGAAGAAUCUGUCCGCUAUCGGUUAGUAAUAAUAGUUCUUAUGGUGCUCUUCGAUGUCCCAGGUUUGUGGCAUUGAUGAAUAAUUAAUUUAAUCUUUACAGAUGUUUACAGUUGUGACCUGUCAUUCAGAGCAGGUGGGUUUUGAGCCCCACCUGUUUAGCUAAAAAAAAUAAAGAGGUAUAACUUAUUUUUGCCUGUUUUGCAUGUUAUUCUGACAUUAAUACAGAACGUGUCACAUAUCAAUUUGCAAACAAUGUAAAAAAAUAAAUGAAAAUCAUUGAGUUAAUAAAGCUGCAUACGAACAUU